UGGGGAAUAUUGCACAAUGGAGGGAACUCUGAUGCAGCGACGCCGCGUGAACGAAGAAGGCUUUCGAGUCGUAAAGUUCUUUUAUAUGGGAAGAUAAUGACGGUACCAUAAGAAAAAGCCCCGGCUAACUACGUGCCAGCAGCCGCGGUAAUACGUAGGGGGCUAGCGUUGUCCGGAAUCACUGGGCGUAAAGGGUUCGCAGGCGGAAAUGCAAGUCAGGUGUAAAAGGCAGUAGCUUAACUACUGUAAGCAUUUGAAACUGCAUAUCUUGAGAAGAGUAGAGGUAAGUGGAAUUUUUAGUGUAGCGAUGAAAUGCGUAGAUAUUAAAAAGAAUACCGGUGGCGAAGGCGACUUACUGGGCUAAUUCUGACGCUGAGGAACGAAAGCGUGGGUAGCAAACAGG
rnacentral:rRNA from 1 species